rnacentral:lncRNA from 1 species
ACAGCCUCAAGCCGCGUGGAUUCCUUCCAGACGGCCGGAGCCCCUCCCCCGCCUUUCCUACCCGGCCCCGGCGCCGGGCUUCCCCCCGCCUUAGGAAGCUCGCCCUUCCAGCCAGCGGCCCCGACUGUACUGGCUCCGCGGCAGCCUUGGCUCAGGCGGCCAGCGCUGGACAGCGGCCGGGGAAUCCCGUGCUGCGCGGCGCGGCCGAGGGGCGGGCCUGGCCCGGAGAGUACCGCGGCUUCGGCCCUCUGCCGUGCGCCUCGCGCGUUUUGCAUCGCUGAGCGAAGCAGAGACGUAAGGAAAUGGUAGCAGAGCGCGGGGCGAGGGCAGAGGGGAGUCAUUUCCCCCAGAGUUUGGGCUGGUUGGGUCCUCGGCACCUCCGGACGUGCGCCAGGCUUCCACCCUGAAGACGCGCCCGUCCUGGGAACAUGACCUCGGAAGCAGUCGCAGCCGCCGCCGGACGAGGGGCGUGGAGAGGCGGUGCCCCGGCAGCCCAGGGAUGGCGCAGGCCCUGGGGCCCCAGGAAGACGGCGCCGUUGGCGUCUUGAGUCUUGCUGCCGCCUCUGGCUGCCUAGCCCUCUUGCUUUCGCUCUUCUUGUUUGCUCUGGCCCCCAUUUUUCCGAGAGUGUACGCCAGGCCCGGGCCCUGCUCCUGGACUGAUUUACCUGGGGCGGCACCGCCCGCAGCCAUGACUCCCGGGCUCUGAGUUUAGCGGCGCCCUAAGCGCCGGAACCGCAUCUCGGCGCCGGUGACAGUUAUUGCGCCCGGGGCCGCUCCCCAAGCUGUGGGCAAGACACCGCGCCCGAUUUCCUUUCAGCACCGAGUGUCAGACGUUGUAGUGUUUAUUCGACCGGAGGCAGGGAGGGCGCUACUAUCCUAUCACAGGUUUGGGAUAACCCAACAGAAACGCAGUGGGAACCCCUUGGCUAGGAGUCGAACAAGGAUCCCGGGUCGUGGUAGUAUAGUUUACAGUGGGGGAUAAAGCAGUAACUUUCUAGAUAGUUGUUAAUAAUUUUUUCUGAGCUGCAAGUAUCUCCUUAUUUCUCACAAAAAUCUGCGAGCUGAAUUGAAUGGUUUUGAAUUUUCAAAAUUAAAAAAGCUGUGGGGCAGUUUUAGAGUAUUAUUGGGGAAAUUUUACAUUCGUUGCUAUGCCUUUCCAUACAGGCCCCCCCUUUUCGGUCUCCUUAACUGGUUCGUCUUCGUAGUUGGAAUUCCUUUGCAUGAGGCUAUGGAAUAUACACUACCUUCUCUGGACGUUAACUAUUAGCUACAGCUUGAGGACUCCCAAAUUUAUGCCUUUAGCAACACGAUCCGAGCCCUGCAACUUUUCGACCUCAUUUUGAGCCAACAUUAUUUUGCUCCCUUAUUUUGUUGAAGUACUUUCUCCAGUUAUUUACUUAAAAUGUUCACAUGAGAGACAUACUAUUUGAUUCCUUGCUUGUACUAAGAUGUAAUGAUUGUAACGACUUCAUUUUCCUAGACCCAGAUAAAAGUCUCGCUUCAUUCAUGAAACUUUUUACAAUCAGUAGUGACCUCUGCCCCAUCUUAUCUCUUUUAACACUUACUAUAUCAUUCAUUAGUCGUUAGCCAUAUACUUUCAUUGUGUAAUCUUCUGAUGUAUAUGCAUUUUAUCUCUCACAUGAAUUAGAGUCAUAAACUUUUAUGAAUUCUUCAAAGCACUUACUUCAGUGUUUACACAAAAGUUACUUGUUUGGCUUAUUACAAUAUCUAACACCAAGCAGGUUACCUUCUAUUUUUUGUUGUUAAUCUGUAUACAUAAAGUGUUUAUUGUUACUUUUCAGCUGAGUUUAUUUUAGACUAAAAGAGAAACGGCCAUAAUCUAACUGGCAAAAAGUAAUAGGAUUCUGAGCCAGUAAGCAUUUAAUAGAACGUUCUUUAUGACAAUAGAAAUAUAACUUGUUAUGAACAUACACCUUAAAUGCAAGAUACUGCAGUUAAGAACUAAACAUGUUUCAACCAUAAUUUACUUCAUAGUUUUUGUUUUUUUUUUUGAGACAGAGCCUUGCUGGAGUGCAAUGGCUCGAUCUCGGCUCACCCCAACCUCCUCCCAGGUUCAAGCAAUUCUCCUCCUCAGCCUUCCAAGUAGCUGGAAUUACAGGCAUGCGCCACCACGCCUGGCUAAUUUUGUAUUUUUAGUAGAGAUGGGGUUUCUCCAUGUUGGUCAGGCUGGUCUCGAACUCCCGACCUCAGGUGAUCCGCCCACCUCGGCCUCCCAAAGUGCUGGGAUUACAGGCGUGAGCCACCGCACCCUGCCCUUCAUGGUGUUUUCUUUAUCAGACUAUAGUUAUCCUAUCAGUCAUGCUGAUUAAUUCAAUUACCUAAGUCUAGUGCCAAUUUGAACCUUCUGAAAAUGCAAGUCAGUACUUGAAAAGCAUGGUUGUUUUUCCUAUCUUUGCCAUUUUGGGGAUUUCUCUCUCAUUUUAACAAAGAUACACAUUGUUACUACUUUAUGUCAGGUGUAUUCUAAGUGCUUUAAAAAAUAUUAACUCGAGGCCAGGCGUGGUGGCUCACACCUAUAAUCCCAGCACUUUGGGAGGCUGAGGCGGGCGGAUCACCUGAGGUCGGGAGUUCGAGACCAGCCUGACCAACAUGGAGAAACCCCGUCUCUACUAAAACUACAAAAUUAGCCGCAUGUGAUGGCACAUUCAUGUAAUCCCAGCUACUCGGGAGGCUGAGGCAGGAGAAUCGCUUGAACUCGGGAGGCGGAAGUUGCGGUGAGCUGAGAUUGCGCCAUUGCACUCCAGCCUGGGCAACAAGAGCAAAACGACGUCGCAAAAAAAAAAAAAAAAAAAAAAUUGGCUGGGUGCAGUGGCUCACACCUGUAAUCCCAGCACUUUGGGAGGUCAAGGUGGGAGGAUUGCUUCAGCUCAGGAGUUCGAGACCAGCCUGGGCAACGUAGGCAGACCCCAUCUCUACAAAACAUAUACAAAAUUAGCCAGGCAUGGUGGGUGGCAGGCACAUGUAGCCCUAGCUACUCAGGAGGCAGAGGUGGGAGGAUCACUUGAGCACAGGAGUUGGGAGGCUGCAGACAGUUAUUAUCAUGCCACUGCAUUCCAGUCUGGGCAACAGAGUGAGACCCUGUCUCAAAAAAAAAAACUCGUUUAAUCAUGACAACUAGAGGAAACAAAUUCUUUAUCCCCAUUUUACAGAUGAGGAUACCAAAGCACAGAGUGAUUAAAUAACUUACCCAAGAUCACACAGAUCACAACUAGAAGGAGGUUAAACCACAAUUCAGAUAGUCUGGCCUCAGAACCCUUGCGUUUAGCCACUGUGCGCUGUAGAUUUAUAUGUCCCCUGUUGAGUCUAUGGUAACUCUUUUGCAGUUGUUGAUGUUGAGACAAGGUCUUACUCUGUCACCAAGGCUGGAGUACAGGUGGUCCUUCCACCCCAGCCUUCCAGAUAGCUGGGACUACAGGCACGUGCAACCACGCCUGGCUAAUUUUUCGUACAUUUUGUAGAGAUGCAAUUUCACCAUGUUGCCCAUGGCGGGUCUCUUGAACUCCUGGGCUCAAGCAAUCCGCCUUUCUUGGCCUGCCCAAGUGCUAGGAUUACAGGCAUCAGCCACUGUGCCUGGCCUUGUGGUAACUUAAUACUGACCUUGCUACUGGCUGUGUUUCCAGGUCUGGGAGAGAUGUUUGUAGUAAAUAAGCCAAGCAUUCUUAAUUUCACAGUUGAUCAUACCAUCCUUCUUGAAACACUUCCUCCCAUUUCACUGGCUGUCUCCUCAGUCUCCUUGGCUCCUCUUCCCUUCUCAACCUGUUAUUGCUCACGAUAAAAACCCUUGGAGUCUUACUUACCUCCUCUUUCUAUCUUAGGUCUUCCCUUACCUAAAAAUAGUCUCCUCCUAGGCAGCAUCUAAUGCUUUACCCUGUUGGGUUUUUCUGCAUAGUAUAUAUUGCUAUGUAAAAUUACAUGUAUAUUCACUUGACUCGUUAGCUGUUUGUUUCCUCCACUAUCAUAUAACCUUCAUGAUGGAUUUAAACCUAUCUUAAUUUGGGUUUCAGAUGUUCCUUUUUAAAACCUUUUCCUGCCUUCUGUGAAAUUUACUAAAUGUUUUUUAUUUCACCUUUCCCCUCUAAUUUAGAUGUUUUACUCUUUAGUUUUAUUAUUUUAAAUAAAUUAAAACAUACAGUGUCUAAAAUAUAAAAUUAAUCAAAAUGAUUGUCUUCUGGAUAACUCAAGGACCUUAGACUGCUUUAACACCAUUAACCCUUCUUUUGACAAAUAUGCUAUUACUGUCUAGUGUAUUAAAUGUAUCUUUUAAUCUCAAUAAGCAUCAUUAUUUUACUACUUUUUAUAGUCAUUAAAAAAAUAUUUACCCAUGCUUUUAUUACUUUCUUUGCUCCUCUUUCUCAUCUCCGACCUCCAUCUGGAUCACUGUCCUUCUGCCCAAACCUCCCAUGGAGAGGAUCUCCAAUAGACAGUUGAGCUGUCUUAGUUUUUUGUGAGUUUGAACAAAACUCUCAAACUCCUCCUCGGGGGAAUAUGUUCUUUGGCGAUCAUUGAGGAAUGGAAGAACUGAAAAAAUUAAUGGAAAAUUGUCAUCAUUUCCUAUAACUGAAGGAAUCUAUAUUUCAAUUUAGAACAUUCCAUCAUGGAACAAAAUACUCAUUUAUCAUGCCACAGUUCACGCUUAAUAGAAAUAUGUGUAAGCCAAAAAAAGACAGAAGCCAUACUUUGGGUUCUGGUACCAAAAUUUAGAAGUGCUCCUUUGUUUCAAGCCCAGAGGUUUUUAUACCAUAGGAUAAGGUGCCAGUCAGGUUUUGGAUAGGUAAGUGUGCCCAUCUUUUGCAAAAGGGCAAUUGCAAUAGAGGAGGUAGGAAGAAGGGCUAGAAUAUAGGCAGAUCAGUUUCAGUAAAAAGUACAUUUGUAUGUUGACUAGCUGACGGUUCAUUCUUAUAAAACUGUUUUGUCCAGAAUACCAUCAGGAAACUCCUUGGAAUGUCUUAUACUCCCCCGAGAGUAUAUAUGGCUGAAUGUGAAAACACUGAACUGGGGUAUAAUUUAUGAAACCCACAAAAAUGUUCCUGCCAGGUUCUUGGGAAGAGCACAAAGACCAGAUAAAUAUAUGUAGACUUGAUUUCAUAAGACCAACACAGAACUCUUAAGCAUGUAAGUAGCUCAGUAGAUUGACAUUGAAUGGCAGUUAAAUAAACAGUUAAGGAGCUAGCAGAUAAUCAACAAAACAAGCAUUUAUUUCUGCAAAAUUACUUUGGACAAGCUCACAAAUGACUGCCUCAUUGAACUAAAGGCUCAAAGGGAGCAGAAUACUUAAGCCACAAACUCAGAACUAUAGUUCUCCCUAAUACACUGAAUACCCAAUCUCUCUUAACAAACAUAAUCACCAUGAAAAGCAUACUCUGAAUUAUGCCAGUGGCGUAGAAGCACUAGGAGCCAAAAGUUCUGUAAUUACAGUCCAGAGAAAGACUAUUGUUAUUUCAUUUUAAAGCAUCAUUGAGUUUUAGGAAGUGAAAUAAAAACAGGCCGGACGUGGUGGCUCAUGCCUGUAAUCCCAGCAUUUUGGGAGGCCGAGACGGGCAGAUCACUUGAGGUCAGUCGUUUGAGACCAGCCUGGCCAACAUGGUGAAAUGCUGUCUCUACUAAAGAUACAAAAAUUAGCCAGGUGUGGUGGUGCAUGCCUGCAAUCCCAGCUACUUGGGAGACUGAGGCAGGAGAAACACUUGAAUCAAGGAGGUGGAGGUUGCAGUGAGCCAGCCUGGAUCACACAAUUGCCCUCCAGCCUGGGCGACAGAGCAAAACUCCAUCUCAAAAAAAAAAAAAAAAAGAAUAAGAAUAAGAAUUAUCUUUUAUAAGCAGAUGGCUUAAGUGCCAGGGUACACAGGAGAAUCAUCAAAAGAGCUAGAGUAAAUGCACAUAUCCAAGCCCCAUCACCAACUGACUACACAAAAUCUCCAGGGUGAUUCUGUUGCCCACCCCUGGUUAAAGACCACUGCUUUAGGGGAUUUAUUUCUAGAGAAUCUGUGGGGGUCAAGACAUCCUGAAAAGAAUAAUGUCACAUAUAACCAAUAUUACCAGCUUUACCAAGUAUACUAUACUGUGGACCGUUUUAAUAAAGGCUCCAUUACCUUAAAUAUAGAGGCAGAGCCAGGGUCUGUGUUCUUAGCAAUGCUUCUGUGGUACAAUUGUAUUAAGAGUAAUUGCAUGGCUGGCCCGAAGGUAGGGAGUUAUCUCAACCGAUUGUUCACAGUCAGGAGUUUGAUCUGAAACUCCUUGUUCUACUUUCUCCCCUUCUCACUACUAUGCUUGACUAGUCUUUAAAAAAAUUUUUUUUUAAAAAGAAUAACUGCAGACCAGGCAGCAUUCAGAAUAUUUGCUUAUUUCUUAGUUUUGCUGAGACUAUUAAAUAAACAAGUCGCUAACGAGGCCCCAAUAGUUAAACAGGACUGCAAGGCUGAAACACUGUAGAAUGUAAAGUGAAAUUUUAAUGUAAAUUCUAGUGUAAGAAAUAUAUUUGCUGGUUUUAAUUGUUCAAGAUUAGAUAAGGGGAAAAGAGUAGGUGGAGGGGAAUCACAUGGACUAAACUGGAAAGCUCUUUAAAAACUAAGUCAACUCUAAGCUCCCACUGUCUCCUCUGGCUUAUAUGAUCUCUUCAUAUUGUGUCUCCCUCUCUCAUCUUUGGAGGGCAUCCAAUUGGACUGGAAAAGUAAACAUAUAAUGCAGACCGUCUUUAUACCUGGUUCAGACAUUAAUUGUUUGGCUCCAUUUGGCUAGAGUAGCAGAACUGGUUUCACUCCAGCACACGGACUAUUUUCAUAGUAGUAGUAAUGCAGUGUAACGGGCAAACACUGAGAUUUUGUAAGCUGACCAGCGUAUUUCGAUUGUUAAAUAUGUUUGGUGAUGAAAACCCUGGAAACUUCUAUUGACCCAUCAGUCUGCCCAAGGAAUCUUUUCAGUUCAUCUUCAGUAAUAUUAAUUAGCCUUUCAGCCUGAUCUUUGGCUCAUAAAUUUCAAGGUAUGAUGAUGGAAGCUCAAGCAAUGUUCCUGUCUGUAAUUAUAUUAAACCAAACAAGGUAAAUAUGGACUCAAUGUCAGAAACAAGUAACGUCUGGAAACAUACAUUAUAACUAAGGGGCACUAAGUUGCAAUUAUUGCAUCAGAGUUUUGGGAACUAGGAACAUUUUAACCCAUUUUGUGAAAGCUCAGGAAUCAAGAUAUUCUUCCUUCGAAAUACUUAGAUAUGUCUUAGUUACCUUGGGCUGCCAUAACUAAAUACCAUAGACUAAGUUAAACAACAGAAAUUAAUUUUCAAACAGUUCUGGAGGCUCCAAGGUCAGGGUGCCAUCAUCGUGGUGUUCUGCUAAGGGCUCUCUUGUGGGUUGCAGAAGGCCACCUUCUCUCUGUGUACUCAUAUGGUCUUUCCUUGGAUUAAGACCCCACCCUUAUGACUUAAUUUAAACUUGAUUACCUCCCCAAGGCCCCAUCUCAAAUACCAUCAGACCAGCGGUUAGGACUUUAACAUUAAAUUUGGGAGGGUGGGGCACAUUCAGUCCAUAACAGGAAUCAAGAUAUUUUUCCUGUAAAAUGCUCUCGCAAAAUUAAUGUGUACCCUUGAUCACAUGCCUUCGUUAUUUCUUAAUGUAAAACACGUUUCUUUGCAAUAUUUUCAUUUGGGAAUACAUUUCAGAUCACCAAACAUAUUUCUGUAUCAUGGGGCUUCUUUAAAGGGCUUGAAAACUUUUCAGGAGAGCAACAAAUACCCCUCUCCCCCAUAUUUUUGACUCAGGAGAGGUGAGGAGGGUAGCAGGGGAAAGCUAGGAUCCUUAGAUUUCUCGGCCAUAUUCUUUCUUUCUGCUGUUUCCUGUCUUUUCUUGUUGUUUAGAGACCUUCUCUUCUUUAAAAACUUCUUCGAUCUCACCCUCCCAUAUUCUGAGCAAUAAAGGGUAAGUAAAGAAAAAACCCUGGAUUACCAAGAAGGGCAUUUCAAAAGUAUUAUCCCGACUGGGUGUGGUGGCUCAUGCCUGUAAUUCCAACAUUUUGGGAGGUCAAGGCGAGAGAAUUGCUUGAGCUUGGGAGUUAGAGACCAGCCUGGGCAACACAGUGAGACCUUGUCUCCACACACACAAAAAACUAACAAAUUAGCUGGACGUGGUGGCGCGCGCUUGUAGUCUCAGUUACUUUGGAGGCUGAAGUGGACGGAUUGCUUGAGCUUGGCAAGUCGAGACUGCCGUGAGCAGUGAUCGCACCACCUGCACUCCAGCCUGGGCCACGGAGUGAGACUCUGCCUCAAAAACAAAAGUAUUAUCCCUUUUACUUUUAAUCAAUAUGUUAAUGCAAAUUAUUCAUAAAAUGCUACAUGAAAUGUGGCCAAGACAAUCUGAUGAGUUGGCAAAUUCUUUUGGAAUAAUGAUGUGAUUGCCUCCAUGCAUUCAUUGUAUUCACGUAUUGCUAAUGGAAGUUUUACACUGACAAAAGUUUGGGACAUACUCUUUGGUAAUAAUGGCUUAUAUAUUAAAGUCGUGUCUGUAUUGCAGGACUUCUCAGAGUCUUUAAUGACCAUUGUGAAUUUCCAAGCUGGGCUAUGUGCUCUGUAAGCAUUUCCCAAGCACAUGUGGCCAUAGAACCAUUUUUUGUAAAGGAUAUAUUAGUAGUCUUUUGCUGGUAAGUAAUAGAAACUAACCUGAGCUAACCUUAUCAACAACUAACAUUUAUUUGGAAGAACAAUGGGUGUAUUGUUCAACCUGUUGAAUUGAACUACCAAGCCCCAGGAAGAACAGGCAGCUAUUGGAAACCUUGCGAUUAAAUGUUAUAACAUUUCACCUUGAUCUUUGUUUGCAGUCAAAUUUGACAUCCAGUUUUACUUUUUCUUUCCAUUUUUGCUUUUGAUUUACAUUACGAUCCUUUCAGUUAUUACAAACCUUCAUUAAAGCAUGUUGCAUACAAGGUUAGUGGCAUUUUAGGCUAAGAAGGGAUAAAGCGGAGAAUGGGAGUAUUCUCUCCAAGGAUCACAUCUCCUCUGAUUUUAACCUGAUGAUGACGACAUUGUGCUAAAGGAAAUCUUAGAAUCCCCCCAGUAAUCAACAGAAGUGAUCAGAGGCCCCAUCUGAGUUGGGGUUUGGAGACUUACGGGGACUAAACAGGAGUGGUUCUGAGAAGAAACUAGGCAACAAUGUAGAAUUAGAUCUUAAAACAAAUUGACUCUCAAAUAAGCUGGAGGAAAGUGACUCAUGAGAUAGGAGAGGCAUUCCCUUGGCAUACACAGUGACUCCCUAUAGCUCUGUGAGUUGAACAUCCCUAAUCUGAAAAUCCAAAAUGCUCCAAAAUCUUAAACUUUUGAGCACCAAAUGACACCACAAAUGGAAAAUUCCUCACCUGACCUCAUGCAACUUGUUGCAAUCAAGACUUAGACACAAAACACACUGUUUAUUCACCAUUCCCAAGGGGUUACAGUGCACAGUAACUUUUCAAUCAAAACACAGAAUUGUAGGUGGAAACUGAGAGCCUGUCAUUGUUUGUGACUGCUGUUGUUUAAUGGAUGAUACAGGUGUUCUGGUGGUGCUAUUGUGCCACUUAGUUACCCUGAACACAUUUUUUCACCGUAUUAGUGGUAUGUCAUAUUUUUUACUAAGUACUUAUAUGUGAAUAAGUAUAAGAAAAUGAUUGCUUAUUGGUUGCAUAUCAAUUCAAAGUCAGCAAUGAUGGUGAUGCCAAACAACAGGUGACUGUCCAUAUGGGUGUCUGAGAUAGUGACACCUUUGCUUUCUGAUGGUUCAAUGUACAUCAACUUCAUAUAUGCACAAACCUUGCUUCAUACACAAAAUUAUGUAAUAUACUGUAUAAAAUUACCUUCAGGCUAUGUGUAUAAGGUGUAUAUGAAACAUUGGUGGCCGGGCGCGGUGGCUCACGCCUGUAAUCCCAGCACUUUGGGAGGCCGAGGCGGGUGGAUCACGAGGUCAGGAGAUCGAGACCAUCCUGGCUAACAAGGUGAAACCCCGUCUCUACUAAAAAUACAAAAAAUUAGCCG